UACAGAGACUGCAAGCGUUAUUCGGAUUCACUGGGCGUAAAGGGUGCGCAGGCGGCCAAGUGUGUGAGGCGUGAAAUCCUGGAGCUCAACUCCAGAACUGCCUUCGAUACUGAGAGUCUCGAGUCCGGGAGAGGUGAGUGGAACUGCGAGUGUAGAGGUGAAAUUCGUAGAUAUUCGGAAGAACACCAGUGGCGAAGGCGGCUCACUGGACCGGUAUUGACGCUGAGGUGCGAAAGCGUGGGGAGCAAACAGG
rnacentral:rRNA from 1 species